rnacentral:tRNA from 1 species
GGGCGUGUAGCUCAGUUGGUUAGAGCGUUACAUUGACAUUGUAAAGGCCCCCCGUUCGAAUCGGGGCACGCCCACCA